GUCUGCGGUUUAACACAAAGAUCGUCGGCGGAGAUCCUACAGAUAUUGCUCAGUAUCCGUGGCAGAUUGGCUUGGCUCAGAAAUACGACAAUUUUGUUUUCUGCGGAGGUUCUAUUAUCAACGAUCGAUAUAUUCUCACGGCCGCCCACUGUGUCGAUGGAAACUAUCCCGAAAAUCUAGUAGUUCGCGUCGGUGAAACAACACGAUCGGGUCCUGCAACAACCAUAGAUGUAGAGCAAAUCAUAGUCCAUGA